rnacentral:misc_RNA from 1 species
UCCGAGUUGACCCCGGCAGUCUCCUACGAGUCCCCGGCAUAACCCGCUGGCAACAUAGGACGAGGGUUGCGCUCGUUGCGGGACUUAACCCAACAUCUCACGACACGAGCUGACGACAGCCAUGCACCUCCUGUGUAGGGCCCCGAAGGACACCGUAUCUCUACGGCUUUUCCCUACAUGUCAAGCCUUGGUAAGGUUCUUCGCGUUGCAUCGAAUUAAGCAACAUGCUCCGCCGCUUGUGCGGGCCCCCGUCAAUUCGUUUGAGUUUCAGCCUUGCGACCGUACUCCCCAGGCGGGGCACUUACUGCGUUAGCGCCGGCACCGACGGGAUUAUACCGCCGACACCUAGUGCCCAUCGUUUACGGCUGGGACUAC